CCCCUCUCAGGGUCGCACCUGGAGAGUUUCCAGUACUCUACCAGUCUUGACUACCGGAGGGAGAGUCAAGCAGAGGCAUACACGUUCCAUUCCUAGUUUGAGCAGUGCCUAAGGAGUGGAAAGCGAUCUGCUACAAGU